AUAGUCGAGCAUGAAGACAUUUAAAUUUAUGCACAUUCCAACCGCAAACUGUAAUGCGGAUAUACAAAUAACAGAUAUAAAAGAAUGUGGAGG
rnacentral:ncRNA from 1 species